rfam:Dipodomys ordii contig_53092, whole genome shotgun sequence.
GGGAAUGUGGUUUAAUGGUAAAGUGCUUGCCUAGCAUGCAUGAAGCCCUGGGUUCAAUUCCUCAGUACCA